AGGUUUUGGGGAUAACUGCAGGGAGAUGCUUGGGGAGGCUGCUAGCUCUGCCCCAGACCACAACAAAUGUGCUUGUGGUCCAGGUCAUACCUUCUGCACAGACAGGUCUCAGCAGCCAAAGCAGAAAAGGAGAGCAAAGGAGAAGAGACAAGGAAACUCACCUUCACAGUGUGCACUGUAGGCAUCCUGCAGACCAGCAUAUGCCACCCAGUACUAAGCUGCCCCCAAUGAAAUAAAUAAUAGGAAAAGCUGUGGAGGAGAAGGCAGUGCAGUGACUUCAGCCUCGUCCCUGAAAUCCAGAAGUAAUUAAAAAGAACCCAAACUAAGAACAGUUCGUUCUUAGUAUGUUUAUUGAGCUGUUAUGUUAAUACUGCAUUGCUGUGAAUGACUGUAUUAAGGAUACCAUAAAUCAUUAGAGAAAAGCAAAGAAGCAGCAUGUACUCCUGUAAACCUGAACUGCAUCUAAAUGUAUAUGGGCUCAUAAAGAUGCAGAGACAAAGAAAUAACAAAAGAUAAUUGCCCUUGACUGGAAACCAGGAAUCAGCAAUAGUUGUAGACUCAAAAUUAAAUGGUAAUUGAGCAGAUUGAUGGAACCUGAUCCCACCCUUUGAAGGGCACCUGCAGCAAUAUCUCUUUCAGCAGUAAUUGCACCUUCCCCUCUCCUGGUGCAGAGGUCUCAUCUGCAUCCCAGGCUCUGGAUGCUUUAGAGUGGACCCAUUUAUGUUUAACUGAAUCCACCCUGAGCUAAGCUGAAUAGUGGUGAAAGGAUGGUUUGAGCAAGAAAUUAUUCACUGUCAGAUAAUUAUGAUCCCAGCAGAAAAGUCUCAGCCCUAAAUCAGGGCCCACUGGAUGGCCUGGGGUGCAACAAAAAGUUGGAAGAAAUUCCUGAAGACUUGAUGAUUACACCAAAUUCCAGAGGCCUUUUGACAGAUAAGGAGGAUCCCUACCGACCUUGCCUUUUGUUUACCCUAAGUGUUUUACUGGCCCUCCUGUACCUGUCAGAUAGGAACUGGCACAGGGAAAGCAGUCCUGGCAGGAUGGAGAACAGAAGAAAAACUGAAUUCACAACUUCACCAAGCGUCAACCAACCCCAGCAAUGUGUCAUUGCUGGAAAAAUAUGGGAUAGCAGUCAUAUUUCUGGCUUGGUUGAGAGGAGGAGAAGGGGUGAUGGUCAGGUUUCUAAGGUACCAAGCACAUCUGCAUCAACCCAUCUGAGCUUCCCAGUCCCUGAGAUGACACGUGUUCCCAGAGAUCAGUGGGACAGUUGGGUGCAUGGGGUGGUGUUGUGCUGGAGGUGCAGGGUGUUGGAGGGUAUGGACAUCCACACCAGGAGGGGUCAAAGGAGAAGGGAUAAGCAGAAAUCUUCAUCUGGAAAUAACUGCUCUCUGAGCAGUCCUUGGGGACUGCUGGCACCAGACUGGUAAUAACUUAAUUGCAACCCAUUUAUCCUUGAAGGGUAUUUUUGGUAAUUGCCUUUAAUGCACCUUUGUUAAAGCAAUGAAGCAGUAUUCACUCCCUUCUGAUUUCAGCAUAAUUUUGGUUUAAAUAUAUUCAGGUGGUAAUUUUUGCCUUGCUCUGAAGCAUUGAUAAACCCUCUGGUGUCUCAGCACAUUUCACAGUGUUUGGGAAUAAAAUUAGUUAUACUGGCUGUCCGCUUUGGUCUCCUGAACGACAGAUCUCAAGAGAUUUCAGCCCUUUUCUGUUCUACCUUAUUAAAAUCAUCAAGAAAUAAUUUUACUUUCAGGUGAUUUUUUUUCCCUUGCUUGUUUUCUCCUUCAUAACACACUGAGAAGCAGAAAGGUAUGGUGAGUGCUUCUGAAAAUAGAGGUGUGCUCUUUCUUCUUUCUUCCCCACCAUUACCUUUCCAAGUGUUCCCCAGAUGUUAGAAUGUUAAUUUUUCAUUGAGCUUGGUCAGAGAUGCCUAUCAAAUGGGUUAAAUAAAACAAGUACAAGAGGUUGUUUAAAAAGCUUGCCCUUUUCGUCCACUUAGUUUAUUCAUCCUCCAUCCCACAGCAAAUUAUUUAGAGGAAAACCAGUCUUGGCAGGACCAUCUCUUUUAUUCUCCAAUUUGUACAAAGGAUAGGAGACAAGGUGGUCUUCACAGGUGCAUCAGGGCACAACUAAUGGCCAUUUUUAUAGCUUUCAUAUCCUCUGAGCCUCAGUGAGGGAGUUUGGGAAAGAAUGGGAGAGAAUGAGC